AUUGAACGCUGGCGGCAGGCCUAACACAUGCAAGUCGAGCGGGGUUUUCGGACCUAGCGGCGGACGGGUGAGUAAUGCGUAGGAAGCUGCCCGAUAGAGGGGGAUACCAGUUGGAAACGACUGUUAAUACCGCAUAAUGUCUACGGACCAAAGUGUGGGACCUUCGGGCCACAUGCUAUCGGAUGCGCCUACGUGGGAUUAGCUAGUUGGUGAGGUAAUGGCUCACCAAGGCGACGAUCUCUAGCUGGUUUGAGAGGAUGAUCAGCCACACUGGAACUGGGACACGGGGCAGCGUCAGACGGGAGGCAGAAGUGGGGAAUAUUGGGCAAUGGGCGGGAGCCUGAUUCAGCCAUGCCGCGUGUGUGAAGAAGGCCUUCGGGUUGUAAAGCACUUUCAGUGGGGAGGAAGGGGUGUGUGUUAAUAGUACACACCUUUGACGUUACACGCAGAAGAAGCACCGGCUAACUCUGUGCCAGCCGACGCAGUAACAC
rnacentral:rRNA from 1 species